rnacentral:tRNA from 1 species
GGGGCUGUGGUUCAGUGGUAGAGCAUCUUUGCUUGACAUGCAGAAGGUGCCAGGUUCAGUCCCCAGCAUCUCCA